GAGCCCGACAGGCUUCUCGCCUUCGUCCAAUCAUGUGCGAGGUCAUGGUCACGGCUCACACAGCAGUGUCGACAAGCGUAACAGACGUUUGGUUUGGUGUUUGUAACUCUCCAAGAAGAGCAGACGGGUGCACAAUCCCAAGAUUGCGGAGGCAGUACGGCGUCUCUGAGGCACACUGCAGGCGCUAUGAACCAGAGCAAAGACUAACGUCGCCUCAUAACAAAGCCGUGACCUCCGAUUUGCUUGGGGCUAUAGAG